AAGUUAUGUUCCACUGACCAGAUAUAAUACUGUACAUUUGUGUGAGAGUGCUUGAGUGUGUCCGAACAAGACUGAAACAUCUCAACAAAAUCAUUCAGAAAGGACUUGGAUCUGCUACCUGAGAUUUCACUGCUAGGUUUCAUUAUUUAUAACAUUGUUCAGAAUGGUUCAGAUUCCAAAGACACUGGUCUUUCUCUGCAUGCUGAUUGGAUGGUCACAGGCUUUUCCGCACAGUGAUAUCAUCAAUGAAAAUGAAGCAAAUAAAGAUGCAGACAGGGUAAAGGGAGAAAUACAAGAUGCUAUACUGAAUGUCACUGAUUUUACUCCACCAGUGUGCAGUGUGGUAAAUGAGACUUCAGACUGUCUUUUAUCAUGUGGAAAUACAAUUAUGGAAGUGACUUAUAUGAUGACAGACGGAGCUGGUUCAGGAAUCAGUUACACCAGUCUUUAUUCUGUUUUAGCUGGGGCUUAUAGCAACUUUACUCAAUAUGAUGGUCUAGAUGAAGAUGGCUACAAAGCUGUCUUUUUGCAUUAUUCUGGCAUCUGCUGUCUUGAAGAUGUGAAUGUUUCUGUGGUGGACAAAGCAGGAAACACAGGAAAGUGUCCUGUUGUUGUAAAACGUGUCAAUCCAGAGACUUUAAUUCUCCCGUAGCUCCAACACAACAAUCUCAAAGGUCAAUACUGAUGAUAAUUAUAAGAUGUACAUGAAAAAUGUACGUUCAAUAAUUUAGUACAGUAAAAGUACUUGAUGUCAAUAUUAAGUCAAUGCUUGAGUAAUGGUAUAAUACAUGAAAAUGUGAUUGCUUGCCAAUAUUUUGUAAUUUAUAGCAGACAUGUAUCUUCAUUGUUUGUAACUGAAUGAACUGAUUGUUUAAAGUACUAAACUGAAAGAAGAUCA